rnacentral:piRNA from 1 species
UAUGGUGUUUACAUUCUAGAAUUCC